rnacentral:rRNA from 1 species
GAUGAACGCUGGCGGCGUGCCUAAUACAUGCAAGUAGAACGCUGAAGGAAGGAGCUUGCUCUUUCCGGAUGAGUUGCGAACGGGUGAGUAACGCGUAGGUAACCUGCCUGGUAGCGGGGGAUAACUAUUGGAAACGAUAGCUAAUACCGCAUAACAGUAGAUGUUGCAUGAUAUCUACUUAAAAGGUGCAAUUGCACCACUACCAGAUGGAACUGCGUUGUCUUAGCUAGUUGGUGAGGUAACGGCUCACCAAGGCGACGAUACAUAGCCGGCCUGAGAGGGUGGUCGGCCACACUGGGACUGAGACACGGCCCAGACUCCUACGGGAGGCAGCAGUAGGGAAUCUUCGGCAAUAGACGGAAGUCUGACCGAGCAACGCCGCGUGAGUGAAGAAGGGUUUCGGAUCGUAAAGCUCUGUUGUAAGAGAAGAACGAGUGUUAGAGUGGAAAGUUCACGCUGUGACGGUAUCUUACCAGAAAGGGACGGCUAACUACGUG